GGCCGUCGUCAGUUCGUACUGUGAAGCAUCCUGUUAAGUCAGGCAACGAGCGUGACCCACGCCCACAGUUUGCCAGCGUACUCUCUGGAGUGACGGGUACACUGUGGGGACCGCCGCUGCUAAAGCGGAGGAAGGAAUGGGCAACGGUAGGUCAGUAUGCCCCGAAUAUCCCGGGCUACACGCGAGCUACAAUGGUUGGUACAAUGGGUAUCUACCCCGAAAGGGGACGGGAAUCUCCUAAAACCAAUCUUAGUUCGGAUUGAGGGCUGCAACUCGCCCUCAUGAAGCUGGAAUCCGUAGUAAUCGCGUUUCAACAGAACGCGGUGAAUACCGUCCCUGCUCCUU
rnacentral:rRNA from 1 species